AUUGAACGCUGUCGGCAUGCUUAACACAUGCAAGUCGAGCGAGCGGCGGAGGGGCGAGCAAGUUCUGGGAACCUGCCUGAUGUAGCGGGAUAACUACUGUAACCGGUAGCUACUAGUGCAAACGGUCAUAUGUGCCGAGGGGGGAUUAGCUAGUGGGUGGGGUAAUGGCUCACCUAGGCGACGAUCCCUAGCUGGCCUGAGAGGAUGACCAGCCACACUGGAACUGAGACACGGUCCAGACUCCUACGGGAGGCAGCAGUGGGGAAUAUUGCACAAUGGGCGCAAGCCUGAUGCAGCCAUGCCGCGUGUGUGAAGAAGGCCUUCGGGUUGUAAAGCACUGUCAGCGGGGAGGCGUUACUCGCAGAGGAAGCACCGGCUAACUCCGUGCCAGCCGCCGCGGUAAUAC
rnacentral:rRNA from 1 species